GCGCAUUCUCCCUUCCAACGGUCUUAGUUUAAAUAGAGCGAGUUCCCGGAUGAGGAAGCUCUUGCGGUGAAUGAUGUAGCCACGUUCCACACACCCCUUCCCUGUUUGGGCUCCUGUGCUCUUUAACAGCAGCAUAUGGCAGACAGAGGUCAGUACAGAGAUGACUGAUCUUGGAAUUUUCCUGCCAGCUUUGCCACUGAGGGAGUUGUGGACUUCUCUUCCACCAUGUUGGUUCCUGAUGGCUUGUCCUGAAAAAAGACCAGAAACAAAAAGCUUGUCACUGUAUGAAAAUACGGCAAUCAGUGGAGAUUCUGAAGCUAACAACAAUUAUUAUAAAGCAACAGGGGCAGUCACCUCCAGCUCUAUCAGGAAGUCUUUGAGUGAUAGCCAACUAAGCUAUACUCAGAGUAGACCUAUUGAAACAUGGGUGUAGCCAGGGGAGUGCAGGGGCAGCUGUCCCCUCCUAAAUCAAGUCAAUAAAUAAAAAUACUUAACUAACUGA